rnacentral:rRNA from 1 species
AGAGUUUGAUCAUGGCUCAGGACGAACGCUGGCGGCGUGCUUAACACAUGCAAGUCGAACGAGGCCCUGCCUUCGGGUGGGUGUUCUAGUGGCGAACGGGUGAGUAACACGUGGGCAACCUGCCCCCGGCUCUGGGAUAACUCCAAGAAAUUGGGGCUAAUACCGGAUAUGACCGCUGGCCGCAUGGUCUGGUGGUGGAAAGAUUUAUCGGCUGGGGAUGGGCCCGCGGCCUAUCAGCUUGUUGGUGGGGUAGUGGCCUACCAAGGCGACGACGGGUAGCCGGCCUGAGAGGGUGACCGGCCACACUGGGACUGAGACACGGCCCAGGCUCCUACGGGAGGCAGCAGUGGGGAAUAUUGCGCAAUGGGCGAAAGCCUGACGCAGCGACGCCGCGUGGGGGAUGACGGCCUUCGGGUUGUAAACCUCUUUCAGCAGGGACGAAGCGCAAGUGACGGUACCUGCAGAAGAAGCACCGGCCAACUACGUGCCAGCAGCCGCGGUAAUACGUAGGGUGCAAGCGUUGUCCGGAAUUAUUGGGCGUAAAGAGCUCGUAGGCGGUCUGUCGCGUCGGCUGUGAAAUCCCGAGGCUCAACCUCGGGUCUGCAGUCGAUACGGGCAAACUGGAGUGUUGCAGGGGAGACUGGAAUUCCUGGUGUAGCGGUGAAAUGCGCAGAUAUCAGGAGGAACACCGGUGGCGAAGGCGGGUCUCUGGGCAACAACUGACGCUG